rnacentral:rRNA from 1 species
CCUACGGGUGGCAGCAGUGAGGAAUAUUGGUCAAUGGACGAGAGUCUGAACCAGCCAAGUAGCGUGAAGGAUGACUGCCCUAUGGGUUGUAAACUUCUUUUAUAUGGGAAUAAAAUGUUCCACGUGUGGGAUUUUGUCUGUACCAUAUGAAUACGGCUCGGCUAACUCCGUGCCAGCAGCCGCGGUAAUACGGAGGUUCUGAGCGUUAUCCGGAUUUAUUGGGUUUAAAGGGAGCGUAGGUGGAUUGUUAAGUCAGUUGUGAAAGUUUGCGGCUCAACCGUAAAAUUGCAGUUGAAACUGGCAGUCUUGAGUACAGUAGAGGUGGGCGGAAUUCGUGGUGUAGCGGUGAAAUGCUUAGAUAUCACGAAGAACUCCGAUGGCGAAGGCAGUUCACUGGACUGCAACUGACACUGAGGCUCGAAAGUGUGGGUAUCAAACAGGAUUAGAUACCCUUGUAGUC